rnacentral:tRNA from 1 species
UUGGGGGUAGUAUAAGUUUAUUAUGUUUGGUUUACACCCGGAUGAUGUUUCUUUUGGGACUCCCCGAA